rnacentral:lncRNA from 10 species
GCAACUCCAAAAUGGCUGCCGCAGGGAGCGGCGGUUAGGACGGGUUCCAGUCGCUUGGGGGCGUUGGGGGGCUCGAGGGCAAGAGGUUACGCGCCCCAGCUCCGACCUUGGGUCCUUCGCCUGCACCCAGUCUAACCUGGCACCUAAAGAUUAA